UACGAAGGGGGCUAGCGUUGCUCGGAAUUACUGGGCGUAAAGGGCGCGUAGGCGGAUAUUUAAGUUAGAGGUGAAAGCCCAGGGCUCAACCCUGGAAUAGCCUUUAAUACUGGAUAUCUUGAGUUCGGGGAGAGGUGAGUGGAACUCCGAGUGUAGAGGUGAAAUUCGUAGAUAUUCGGAAGAACACCAGUGGCGAAGGCGACUUACUGGACUGUAACUGACGCUGAGGCAUGAAAGCGUGGGGGAGCAAACAGG
rnacentral:rRNA from 1 species